UCCAGGUUCUUCUUGCCUUCAACAAAGAUUUGGACAGUAACAGUGCCAAAAAAUUUACUUGAAAAUUGUGGGGUAAAAGAGUAUAGGAGAAAUCAGCUCUGUGUGAACUUGGAAAGAGAAAAAGAGAGUAAAAGUACUCACCACAGGGCCUGGGAUUUAGCUCAGUGGUUCCGGCGCCUGCUUCGAAAGCACAAGGUCCCAAGUUCAGUCCCCCAAACCAAAAACCCCCACAAAAGUACACACUACACUCAGACAUGGCUCAGGCUACUAUGAAAACUCACACAGGAUAGUGGCUUUCCAUUAUGGCCACUCUUAUUUUAUAUCAUCCAUGGGAGCUUGGGACAUAUUGGAGGGUGAUCAAUUGACUGCCUAGAAAGGGGGAUUAUGAGGGGUAAAGAAAGAAAGACAAUAGAGACAAUAGAGACUUGCAUAAUUUCAUAGUACAUGGGUGGCCAGGAGGUCAGCGCCUCAGAGUGGGCAAAGACAAAGACACUCCUGAGCAAGCCACUAUUUAUUGGGUAUACACAAUAAUCACAGGGAGUAUCAGGUGACUUAGGGGCAGCAGUGAUCCUAUGUUGAUGAGGAUCUUAGGUCACUGAGGAUCUUAUGUUGAUGAGGGUGGUAAGGAGAGCAUUCUUUCAAUAGUAGGUGGGCCAAGAUUGCAGGCUAAUAAGGAAUCUGUCCUUCCCCCAGGUAAAAUCUUUCUCUCUCUCUCUUUUUAAAAUUACUAUUAGGUUCUCCAAGAACCAGGAUGUCUUCAACUGAUCUACUCUUGCCCUUGAGCAUCAUAGUAUCACAAGACCAUUGAGGCCUCAGCUAUGACUGGAGGCAAAAUGGAGUUAUGUUUCUGCAUGCCAUAGCCAGCUCACAUUGGGCCUUAGACAGGAUCAUGAAUGUGUUCCCCUCCGAGCCUGCAUCCAACCAGCUCACCCUUACUCCUUCUCCAGCUGUCUGGGUCCUGAAGCAGCCAUCACUGUCACUGGGUUGGAAAUAGCCACGGGUCCUGGUAAGACCAUAAGGCUGCUGACCUUCCAGCAUCAUCCGUCCCCAGUCAGGGCACCAUGUCCCUUGGGUUCAGUGAUACCCCCUCCCU
rnacentral:lncRNA from 1 species